rnacentral:lncRNA from 10 species
GUCUGUUCCCGGUUUCCUUGACCUGGGCAGUUCCUGGGACCAAGGGGCAGCCCCUCGCAGGCCGGGUUUCGACCGCCCCAGGGCACCCACCGAUCGCACUCACUUGGGCGUGUGGGCCUCGUCCACGCGGUGCCCCAGCUGGAACUCGUGGGAUUUGCUCCGAUGCAGCGCGGUAAGGAAACUGAUGCAAAGAGAUGAAGAUCUGCUUAAGGUCACAAGAGAGAUGGUAACUGGCAGCCAGAUUCAAACCCAAAACUUCGGCCACCUCAACAAGCAGGGCAUGAGGCUGUCUGUGAAAGAGAACUGGGGCCUCCAUUUGCCAUCAUAGAUCAUUCAAACGGGAAAAGAUACUGAAACAAAGGCUCAUUUCUCAAAAUGAGCCUCCUCCCAGGCUUGCCAGAAGAACACUCUACCAAAGUCACCAUCAUUACAGUAUCUACUCUCAAAUAUUGACACAUACACAUUAGCCCAGUGAGUAAGAGAGUCAACGCUGGAGUCGGAUGACUUGGGCUCCAAAUCUGACUCCCCACCACUUAUGGCUGUGUGACCUUGGGCACUCAUCUAACCUCUCUAAGUCUUAGCUUUGUCACCUGUGCAAUGGGACAAUAAGAAAACCUAAUAAAACUCAGGGACUAAUAAACAAUAAUAAAACCUAAUAAAACUCAGGGACUACUAUGAGGAUCAGAUGCACAAAUACAAGCAAUGUGCUUAGCACAGCUCCCAGCACACAAUAGGUACACCAUAAAUGCUAGCUACUGGCAUUGUAAUUCUC